GUCCCUGUAGCGCAAUGGAUAGCGCUGUUGGACUUCUAAUCCAUAGGUCGUGGUGCGACAUAGCCAUCCUGUGAUG